AAUGUCAUGGCCUAGUGGAUAAAGUGAUUGACUGGAGAUCUGAAGGUCGCUGGUUCAAUCCCUGUGGUCUGAAAUUG